CUUCAUUUUUAUCGUUGUUUUUCAUGCAAUCGAGCGGAAACGAUGAUAGCUUGCUAUCAGGCGUCGAGCGGCGGACGGGUGAGUAAUACUUAGGAAUCUACCUAGUAGUGGGGGAUAGCUCGGGGAAACUCGAAUUAAUACCGCAUACGUCCUACGGGAGAAAGCAGGGGAUCAUUAGACCUUGCGCUAUUAGAUGAGCCUAAGUCGGAUUAGCUAGAUGGUGGGGUAAAGGCCUACCAUGGCGACGAUCUGUAGCUGGUCUGAGAGGAUGAUCAGCCACACCGGGACUGAGACACGGCCCGGACUCCUACGGGAGGCAGCAGUGGGGAAUAUUGGACAAUGGGGGGAACCCUGAUCCAGCCAUGCCGCGUGUGUGAAGAAGGCCUUUUGGUUGUAAAGCACUUUAAGCAGUGAAGAAGACUCUUCGGUUAAUACCCGGGGACGAUGACAUUAGCUGCAGAAUAAGCACCGGCUAACUCUGUGCCAGCAGCCGCGGUAAUACAGAGGGUGCAAGCGUUAAUCGGAAUUACUGGGCGUAAAGCGAGCGUAGGUGGCUUGAUAAGUCAGAUGUGAAAUCCCCGGGCUUAACCUGGGAACUGCAUCUGAAACUGUUAGGCUAGAGUAGGUGAGAGGGAAGUAGAAUUUCAGGUGUAGCGGUGAAAUG
rnacentral:rRNA from 1 species